AAGAUUAUACUUUCAGGGGUAGUUCCUAUAGUUUGAUACUAGAGAAGAUUCUCUGGGUGUGGGAAGUAUUCAAAACCAUGAGGAGGUGCAGUGUUCUUUCAUGAGUGUGAAAUUGGCACUUGGUGUUGUUUUUGCAAUUAUCAGUAACCAUUGAUGAUCAUUCUUUUCUUCCCUUAGAAGACAAAGUAGGAGAGAAUGUAGUCUGAGUGGU